CAGAUGGCGGAAUUGGUAGACGCGCUGGCUUCAGGUGCCAGUGACCGCAAGGUCGUGGAGGUUCGAGUCCUCUUCUGGG
rnacentral:tRNA from 1 species